rnacentral:rRNA from 1 species
UGGUGUUACUGCGAAGGGGGGACGGAGAAGGCUAUGUUGGCCGGGCGACGGUUGUCCCGGUUUAAGCGUGUAGGUGUGUGUUCCAGGUAAAUCCGGUUCACUUUAACACUGAGGCGUGACGACGAGGCACUACGGUGCUGAAGCAACAAAUGCCCUGCUUCCAGGAAAAGCCUCUAAGCAUCAGGUAACAUCAAAUCGUACCCCAAACCGACACAGGUGGUCAGGUAGAGAAUACCAAGGCGCUUGAGAGAACUCGGGUGAAGGAACUAGGCAAAAUGGUGCCGUAACUUCGGGAGAAGGCACGCUGACACGUAGGUGAAGUGAUUUACUCAUGGAGCUGAAGUCAGUCGAAGAUACCAGCUGGCUGCAACUGUUUAUUAAAAACACAGCACUGUGCAAACACGAAAGUGGACGUAUACGGUGUGACGCCUGCCCGGUGCCGGAAGGUUAAUUGAUGGGGUCAGCGCAAGCGAAGCUCCUGAUCGAAGCCCCGGUAAACGGCGGCCGUAACUAUAACGGUCCUAAGGUAGCGAAAUUCCUUGUCGGGUAAGUUCCGACCUGCACGAAUGGCGUAAUGAUGGCCAGGCUGUCUCCACCCGAGACUCAGUGAAAUUGAACUCGCUGUGAAGAUGCAGUGUACCCGCGGCAAGACGGAAAGACCCCGUGAACCUUUACUAUAGCUUGACACUGAACAUUGAGCCUUGAUGUGUAGGAUAGGUGGGAGGCUUUGAAGUGUGGACGCCAGUCUGCAUGGAGCCGACCUUGAAAUACCACCCUUUAAUGUUUGAUGUUCUAACGUGGACCCGUGAUCCGGGUUGCGGACAGUGUCUGGUGGGUAGUUUGACUGGGGCGGUCUCCUCCUAAAGAGUAACGGAGGAGCACGAAGGUUGGCUAAUCCUGGUCGGACAUCAGGAGGUUAGUGCAAUGGCAUAAGCCAGCUUGACUGCGAGCGUGACGGCGCGAGCAGGUGCGAAAGCAGGUCAUAGUGAUCCGGUGGUUCUGAAUGGAAGGGCCAUCGCUCAACGGAUAAAAGGUACUCCGGGGAUAACAGGCUGAUACCGCCCAAGAGUUCAUAUCGACGGCGGUGUUUGGCACCUCGAUGUCGGCUCAUCACAUCCUGGGGCUGAAGUAGGUCCCAAGGGUAUGGCUGUUCGCCAUUUAAAGUGGUACGCGAGCUGGGUUUAGAACGUCGUGAGACAGUUCGGUCCCUAUCUGCCGUGGGCGCUGGAGAACUGAGGGGGGCUGCUCCUAGUACGAGAGGACCGGAGUGGACGCAUCACUGGUGUUCGGGUUGUCAUGCCAAUGGCACUGCCCGGUAGCUAAAUGCGGAAGAGAUAAGUGCUGAAAGCAUCUAAGCACGAAACUUGCCCCGAG